GAGCAACGCCGCGUGAGUGAAGAAGGUUUUCGGAUCGUAAAGCUCUGUUGUUGGUGAAGAAGGAUAGAGGCAGUAACUGGUCUUUAUUUGACGGUAAUCAACCAGAAAGUCACGGCUAACUACGUGCCAGCAGCCGCGGUAAUACGUAGGUGGCAAGCGUUGUCCGGAUUUAUUGGGCGUAAAGCGAGCGCAGGCGGAAUGAUAAGUCUGAUGUGAAAGCCCACGGCUCAACCGUGGAACUGCAUCGGAAACUGUCAUUCUUGA
rnacentral:rRNA from 1 species